CUUUGUUUAUGAACAUACAAAAUGUCUGCAUUUUAUUACUUUGAUUUUAUCUUCAAUUUAUAUUAAAUAUAGUCACCUGGUUAUUAAGAAGGGACUUAGUCCGCAGUUCAUAGCUGUCACUAAUCAAUAGGGGAAAAAAAAAACAACAUAGUUGUGCCUAUAAAUAUUGGGGUUGCACCCAAUUUAAAUUAAUUAUGGAGUCAUUGUGAAAUGCGCAAAUAGCAUAAGAAAAUUGUUUCAAUGAAAAUGUAUGUUUUCCCUAUUUACUUGUAAGUCACUGAAAUAACAUUCAUUAGGGAUUAAUUUAAAACAGUAUAUCUUCUUUGGUUGGCCACCUUGAUAGACUGUAUUUUCCUUAUGUUCUCAAAAUUGUAGUUAGUACUACUGGAUCUUAAAUUCACCCAGCAGUCUUUUUGAAACAAUGAUGUUAGCACCUAAUCAAAUUAUUCAUUAUUCAAGUUCACUUUAGAAAAACAUUCCAGGUUAUCUUAGUAUUAUAGAGAAGAAAAAGCCAAUUUUUAGAACUUACCAUGUGCAAGAUUCUAUGCUGGGUAUCUGUCAUACUGAGAGGUGACAACGUGCUGGCGGCCCUCGCUCGCUCUCAGCGCCUCCUCGGCCUCGGCGUCCACUCUGGCCACGCUUGAGGAACCCUUCAGCCCACCACUGCAACGUAGAAGCCCCUCUCUGGACUGGCCGAGGGCAGAGCUGGCUACCUCUGCUUGCCAGUAGGUGUGGUGGGAGAGGCGCCGGUGGGCGCUGAGGCUGCGCAAGGCUGCGCUUGCCGGGCAGCGCGAGUUCCGGGUAGGAAUGGGCUCCGUGGGCCCGGCACUCAGAGCAGCCGGCUGGUGCUGCCGCCCGGACUGUGAGGGGCUUAGCACCCAGGCCGGCAACUACGGAGGGUGCGAAGGGACUCCCAGCACUGCCUGUCCGCCCGCGCGGCGCUCGAAUUCUCGCCGGGCCUCAGCUGCCUCCCCAGGGACAAGGGCUCGGGACCUGCAGCCCGCCAUGCCCGAGCCCGCCCCCCACCCCGCCCGCGGUUGUCUCCCGCGGGCGGCCCGAGCCUCCCUGAGGCAUGCUGCCCCCUUCUCUGCGGCGCCUGGUCCCAUCUACCGCCCAAGGGCUGAGGAGUGCAGAUGAAGAAACUGAAGCACAGAAAUAUUACACAACUAAGAAAUGCCAGAGUUACAAGUCCAACUUCGUUAUUCAGUCCCAGAGUAUGCCCUAACCAACAUGGUGCCCUGUCUCCAAUGUCAUCAAAGUAGUAAGAAGCCUUGUUCUAUAUUUAAGUACUGGAGGGAAGUAUUCUGAUUUUAAGAACAAAUAAAGACUUUUUCAUCUUUAUUUUUGUGGUAAUGUUGAUAAUAUUUUUCAAAUUUAAGGAGAAGAUUAUGUUUGAAUUCACCAUCCAAUUUCAUAAAGUUUAUCUAGUUUAUUAUUUUAAUACAAUAUUUUUUGAAAGAGAAAAGACACAUCAGAUCUGAGAACUAGGAGAGUAAUUAGUUACUACUGAUUGAUGACCACUUGUUCACCUUCAGUAUAUCUUUAAUAUUUUGAGUAUAUUUUGAGUGUAAACAUUCAUAUGAGAUAGAUUAUGUCACCAACCUGACCCUGUAAAGUUAGAAUAAAAUAAGAGUGCAGAAAUAUGUGAUUUAUCAUUAGACUAUUAAAACAGUUUAUGCUAGGUUCAUGAAGUAAAUAAGCGAUAUUCAGUAGGAUGUUCUGUGUUAAGAUGUGUGUUUCUGUAUCUGUGACAUCCAAUAUGGUAGCCAGAAGACAUAUACUAUUUUGAGCACUUGUGUUGUGAGUAGUGAAACUAAGGGCCCAAAUUUCUUAAAUUUUAGUGAUUGCUCUUAAAACAAGAGGUGUGCUUUGUUGAUAUUUAAUUGAUUAGAUAACUGAUUCACCAACAAUUAAUCAACAAUAUUUAUAGAUUUCCAAAGGUCCAAAAUUACAGUGAAAAAUGACUAGAGAUCACAAAAAUGUCUAAUUAAUAUCAAAUUAUAACAUUAAACUUCACCUGUUAUGUCUUAUCAGCAAUAAGUUUAUAAUAUGAUAUAUGAGGAGAAAAUCAAGCAUUAGUGUGUACUACAAUCCUAUGUGUUUUAAGCAAGGAAAAGAGGAAGAAAUAAAGGACGGAGGAAGGAAAACAAAAAGAAAUAUGACAUCCUUGGUUAAUUUGUACAGCCAGUGUAUUAUUAUAAUUUACUAUUGUGUGUAAGAGAUUACGACAAAUUUAAUAACUUAAAAUAACACCCGUUUAUUUAUUGUCUCAUAAACUUUGUUUUCAAGAAACAAAAAGUUGUAUCUAUGACAAUUAACUUUUUGAUUUCAAGAAGACUAAGAGUUGGUGAGACAAUAAAUGGGUGCUGUUUCUUGGGGACUGCUGUCAGCUCCAAGAGGCAUUUCACAGUAUGCUAGUUUAUUUCUUCCAAGCGAACAAAAAGCACUUCCUUGACUUCUCUCAGCAUCAGCCAAGGGCAGUGUGGCUGUGGAGCCGAGAGUUCCUAAAGCCAGGAUAGCUGACAUCACUAAUGAGGACCUGGUACUUGAUGGACAGCCAUUUGUGGGCUGAAAACAUUCAAGCUUUGCUUAAAGGAUUCAAAGGUGGCCAUUGUGACUUUUGAAAACAAAAAUUAGAGUCAGACCCAAUCAGUGGUGUGUAACUGCCCUCUCCUUCUGCAUCUCGUCUUAUCCUUAUCCGUACCUCUAUCCCUACCUUACCUACUUUAACCACCACCACCACCACCACCACCACAACAAAGUGUAUUAGUUGUGAGGUUGAGAUCUUCCUAUCCCAAAGCAGGACCAAAGACCAUGUGUACCCAUCAGAGUACUCCGGGGAUUUUCAAAAGUAGGAGAGACACGAAUUGCCCUGGCCUUGUUGGAUAUGUAUCCAAGUCACCAUCCUACCCAGUCCCAUGUACAUAAAUCUGUGGAAGGAAAAUUAUUUUUAAAAUUGAAUCUAGUUUCCCACAUAUUUAACUCUCCUGAAACAUAAGCUAUAUGUGACAUAUAUCUAGAUAGUCGUUCUUUCUGCAAGAUUUUAUUAUGAUCUACCUGAUUUCACAAGGAUAGACCCAGAUUGAUAACAUAAUUUCUAACUUUUUUUUUUAAUUUUUGGGUCAUCAAUUUCAGGUUAUCAAUUUUUCCCAGUAUAUUAAAUUCCUGAGGGUCAGUUGUACAAAUCUUUUUGCAGUUCAUUAUAGCAAAUCUUUGUGUCUUUGCCCAAUAAAGAAAAAUCAGUCAGACAUAUUGUAAAAGCAUGUUUUCUACAGAAGUACAGUAAAAGACAUAUUUUCACUUUCAAAGUGAUAUAAAAAAAUGAAAACAUAAAUUUACGCUAAAGUUUCACUACUGCUAUUCCUGUGUAUUUACGAAAACAAUUCAAACAACAAAGAAAAUUACCAGAAAGAGCUCAUCUUUAUUUUGAUACAACCGUAUGCAAUAUUGUGAAUUACAUCUUCUACUCACUGUAAUGUUUUUC
ensembl:lncRNA